rnacentral:rRNA from 1 species
GGUUAAGCGACUAAGCGUACACGGUGGAUGCCCUGGCAGUCAGAGGCGAUGAAGGACGUGCUAAUCUGCGAAAAGCGUCGGUAAGGUGAUAUGAACCGUUACAGCCGGCGAUGUCCGAAUGGGGAAACCCAGUGCAAUUCGUUGCACUAUCGUUAACUGAAUACAUAGGUUAACGAGGCGAACCGGGGGAACUGAAACAUCUAAGUACCCCGAGGAAAAGAAAUCAACCGAGAUUCCCCCAGUAGCGGCGAGCGAACGGGGAGCAGCCCAGAGUCUGAAUCAGCUUGUGUGUUAGUGGAACGGUCUGGAAAGUCCGACGGUACAGGGUGAUAGUCCCGUACACCAAAAUGCACAGGCUGUGAACUCGAAGAGUAGGGCGGGACACGUGGUAUCCUGUCUGAAUAUGGGGGGACCAUCCUCCAAGGCUAAAUACUCCUGACUGACCGAUAGUGAACCAGUACCGUGAGGGAAAGGCGAAAAGAACCCCGGCGAGGGGAGUGAAAAAGAACCUGAAACCGUGUACGUACAAGCAGUGGGAGCACCUUCGGGUGUGACUGCGUACCUUUUGUAUAAUGGGUCAGCGACUUAUAUUCUGUAGCAAGGUUAACCGUAUAGGGGAGCCGCAGGGAAACCGAGUCUUAACUGGGCGUUAAGUUGCAGGGUAUAGACCCGAAACCCGGUGAUCUAGCCAUGGGCAGGUUGAAGGUUGGGUAACACUAACUGGAGGACCGAACCGACUAAUGUUGAAAAAUUAGCGGAUGACUUGUGGCUGGGGGUGAAAGGCCAAUCAAACCGGGAGAUAGCUGGUUCUCCCCGAAAGCUAUUUAGGUAGCGCCUCGUGAAUUCAUCUUCGGGGGUAGAGCACUGUUUCGGCUAGGGGGUCAUCCCGACUUACCAACCCGAUGCAAACUACGAAUACCGAAGAAUGUUAUCACGGGAGACACACGGCGGGUGCUAACGUCCGUCGUGAAGAGGGAAACAACCCAGACCGCCAGCUAAGGUCCCAAAGUCAUGGUUAAGUGGGAAACGAUGUGGGAAGGCACAGACAGCCAGGAUGUUGGCUUAGAAGCAGCCAUCAUUUAAAGAAAGCGUAAUAGCUCACUGGUCGAGUCGGCCUGCGCGGAAGAUGUAACGGGGCUAAACCAUGCACCGAAGCUGCGGCAGCGACACUAUGUGUUGUUGGGUAGGGGAGCGUUCUGUAAGCCUGCGAAGGUGUGCUGUGAGGCAUGCUGGAGGUAUCAGAAGUGCGAAUGCUGACAUAAGUAACGAUAAAGCGGGUGAAAAGCCCGCUCGCCGGAAGACCAAGGGUUCCUGUCCAACGUUAAUCGGGGCAGGGUGAGUCGACCCCUAAGGCGAGGCCGAAAGGCGUAGUCGAUGGGAAACAGGUUAAUAUUCCUGUACUUGGUGUUACUGCGAAGGGGGGACGGAGAAGGCUAUGUUAGCCGGGCGACGGUUGUCCCGGUUUAAGCAUGUAGGCUGGUUGUCCAGGCAAAUCCGGAUAAUCAAGGCUGAGGUGUGAUGACGAGGCACUACGGUGCUGAAGUAACAAAUGCCCUGCUUCCAGGAAAAGCCUCUAAGCAUCAGGUAACAUUAAAUCGUACCCCAAACCGACACAGGUGGUCAGGUAGAGAAUACCAAGGCGCUUGAGAGAACUCGGGUGAAGGAACUAGGCAAAAUGGUGCCGUAACUUCGGGAGAAGGCACGCUGGUGUGUAGGUGAAGCCCCUGCGGGUGGAGCUGAGACCAGUCGAAGAUACCAGCUGGCUGCAACUGUUUAUUAAAAACACAGCACUGUGCAAACACGAAAGUGGACGUAUACGGUGUGACGCCUGCCCGGUGCCGGAAGGUUAAUUGAUGGGGUUAUCCGUAAGGAGAAGCUCUUGAUCGAAGCCCCGGUAAACGGCGGCCGUAACUAUAACGGUCCUAAGGUAGCGAAAUUCCUUGUCGGGUAAGUUCCGACCUGCACGAAUGGCGUAAUGAUGGCCAGGCUGUCUCCACCCGAGACUCAGUGAAAUUGAACUCGCUGUGAAGAUGCAGUGUACCCGCGGCAAGACGGAAAGACCCCGUGAACCUUUACUAUAGCUUGACACUGAACAUUGAGCCUUGAUGUGUAGGAUAGGUGGGAGGCUUUGAAGCGUGGACGCCAGUCUGCGUGGAGCCAACCUUGAAAUACCACCCUUUAAUGUUUGAUGUUCUAACGUUGGCCCCUGACCGGGGUUGCGGACAGUGUCUGGUGGGUAGUUUGACUGGGGCGGUCUCCUCCCAAAGCGUAACGGAGGAGCACGAAGGUUAGCUAAUCCUGGUCGGACAUCAGGAGGUUAGUGCAAUGGCAUAAGCUAGCUUGACUGCGAGCGUGACGGCGCGAGCAGGUGCGAAAGCAGGUCAUAGUGAUCCGGUGGUUCUGAAUGGAAGGGCCAUCGCUCAACGGAUAAAAGGUACUCCGGGGAUAACAGGCUGAUACCGCCCAAGAGUUCAUAUCGACGGCGGUGUUUGGCACCUCGAUGUCGGCUCAUCACAUCCUGGGGCUGAAGUAGGUCCCAAGGGUAUGGCUGUUCGCCAUUUAAAGUGGUACGCGAGCUGGGUUUAGAACGUCGUGAGACAGUUCGGUCCCUAUCUGCCGUGGGCGCUGGAGAAUUGAGGGGGGCUGCUCCUAGUACGAGAGGACCGGAGUGGACGCAUCACUGGUGUUCGGGUUGUCAUGCCAAUGGCACUGCCCGGUAGCUAAAUGCGGAAGAGAUAAGUGCUGAAAGCAUCUAAGCACGAAACUUGCCCCGAGAUGAGUUCUCCCUGAGACUUUAAGUCUCCUGAAGGAACGUUGAAGACGACGACGUUGAUAGGCCGGGUGUGUAAGCGCAGCGAUGCGUUGAGCUAACCGGUACUAAUGAACCGUGAGGCUUAACCUU